GACAUAGGUGGCGAACGUUAUCCGGAAUUAUUGGGCGUAAAGGAUGCGUAGGUGGUAGAAUAAGUUACUGGUUGAUGCCAAACUCAAUUUGACGGAAGCUGGUAAUACUGUUUUGCUAGAGGACAGGAGAGGUUGAUGGAAUUCUGUGUGGAGCGGUGAAAUGCGUUGAUCUACAGAGGAACACCAAAAAAGGCGAAGGCAGCCCCCUGGGUCAAGAUUGACGCUCAUGCACGAAAGCGUGGGGAGCAAACAGG
rnacentral:rRNA from 1 species